rnacentral:lncRNA from 1 species
GGCAACCUGUAAACAGCCCAAGAGUUAGAUAAAAUUGCUGCCUCAUUCUACUGAGAAAAAUGACUAUCCUGCUACAGCAACCAGAGCCCAAGAAACCCACCUACGAUGGGGCGGGGGUGGAGUAACAGGAAUGAUUGACAGGAGAGACAACAAGUUCCUGGCCUGCGUUUCACCCCAGUGGCCGAUGCAUCUGAAAUGCCUGCAGUUCUCAGCUCUUGAACAGAACUGAGGAGUCUUGAAAGAGGCCAUGGCAUGCCCUGUGGGGUCUCCAGGCAGCUUUGAUAGGCCCAGUUGGCAUUUGCUAUAAAAACUUAUUAAAUCCAGGCCUUUCUUCUGCAACUGAGACUCCAGAACAGCUGCCCCUGACAAACAAUAAAGAAGGACCUACAGCGUGGCAUGGAUAUCCACUGGCUGGCACACCAGAAGCCAUGUUAGACUAAGAGGUGACUCAGGAUGGCCAUGCACUGGAGGUAGCAAAGCAGAGAGAAAGGAGUCUGCCUGAUGACAGCCUACAGCCUCCAUUACCAGGCCUGGGCCAAUCACCUCUGGACUUUUUCUACAUGAGAGAAUAAAC